rnacentral:sRNA from 1 species
AUUCAUGCGCGUUUGGGGGACCAUUGAUUACCGGAAUCAUUGCCAGGUCGUGAAAGAAGAAAUUGAACAACUUUUCUGUGGUAUAAUCCUUGCAAAUGGAGUUCUCGAAAGCCAAGUAGAAUUUGUAAUCUUUGGCGAAUUUGAAAUGGCAAUCUGUAACUCCAGCUGAACGCACACCGCAAGACAAAUGACCACAUUUCCCGAAAAUAUCAACGGUAACGUACUUCUGGAGACUGGUGACGUAAUUUUCACGUUUGGACGGAGUGUGACAAUGACUGACCGCCCACGCCACCAUUUUUGUUUUCAUUCUGAAUAUUUUUGUAUAAUCUCGAGUUCUUGGCGAUGUUCUGUGAGUUAUUGUUCCAUACACCACAGGAAAACUAGAGUCUUUACGAAAAGUCAUUGUUGCGUCAAAUUUGAACUUCCAUUUUGAUUGAAUUUGAUAUAAAUAAGGAGAUUCAAUAGAGAAAAAAAUCCAAGACUGGUUUGUCUGUUUUACGGGAAUGGUACUGGGUAGAUUGUCACCGUAAAAAAUGACUCCUCGAAAUUCUUCGAAAUUUCUUUUUCCGGUUUUUAUAAUGCAUGGACUUUUAAGAUGGAGAGAACAAGAUGAUGAAUUCAAUGUCAGCGGGUUAAUCGACAUCCAAGAUGGCAUGUUGUUAAACAAGAUCUGGACAUGCGGAUCGUGACCUGUGUGAAUUAGGUGCCGGUAUCCGUCAUCUUUGCUUGCCAGGGUUUUUGUUGGAAUCGGACCAUUAAUUCGCGAAUAUAAGUUUUUGUGUAACUGUUUGCAGUUGUUUCUGAACACUGUCACAGUAAGAAGCACUAAAAUACCCAGGAACAUCAGCGUAGUCCGAUAUGAGCGCAGAUUUACCAUUUUCUGUGUCUAUUUUUUUGGCAUUGGAACGCCUUAUGCUUUAAAUUUUAUUAUCCUAUUCCUGGAAUAAUAAGACAUUUAUGAAGAUAUUGUGAUUAAAUUAAACGUCACACGCGAGUUUUAGAUUAUGGAAAAAAAAAUGUUUCAUUGAGAAAAAUAGUGGUUGGAAAUAAUACAUUUGAGUUAAAAAUGUUUCAACAUGAGUUCUAUCUGAAAAGAAUCAAAAGGCUGAGGAAUUCUAUCCAACAAUUCGUUCAAUGUACAGUGGGGUGGGAUGCUUCACAACCGCAUGGAAUAAAUAAAAUU